UUUUCACUCAUUGCUCUCCAGCUUGGACAAUUCAUAGCCUGAAAUGUGCCCAAAAUUAACCAAAAUUAUCAAAAAUUCCACCCAGAAUUAACCCUGAGAUUCCUGGGAAUCCACCAGUUUCAGGGGAUCCCAAAAAUCCCCAAAAUUCCCUUUGAAAAUUCGGAAUUUUCACUCAUUGCUCUCCAGCUUGGACAGCUCAUAACCUGGGAAAAUUCACCAAAAAUUCACCCAAAAUCCAGAAAAUUCUACUCAAAAUUCCAUCCCAAAAUUCCAGGGAAUCCAGAGGAUCCAGGGGAUCCCGAAAUUCCCCAAAAUUCCCCAAAAUUCCCUCAAAAUUCCCUUUAAAAAUUCUGAAUUUUCACUCAUUGCUCUCCAGCUUGGACAGUUCAUAGCCUGAAAUCCACCCAAAAUUAACCAAAAUUAACCAAAAUUACACCCAAAAUUAGUCCUGAAAUUCCUGGGAAUCCAGAGGAAAAAUUCCCCCCAAAAAUCCCCAAAAUUCCCUCAAAAUUCCCUUUGAAAAUUCGGAAUUUUCACUCAUUGCUCUCCAGCUUGGACAGCUCAUAGCCUGGGAAAAUUCACCCAAAAUUCCCCAAAAUUCCACCCAAAAUUAACCAAAAUUCCACCCCAAAAUUCCACCCAAAAUUAUCAAAAAUUUCACCCAAAAUUAAUCCUGAGAAUCCAUGGAUUCAUAAGAUCCCAAAAAUCCCCAAAAUUCCCUCAAAAAUCCCUUUGAAAAUUCUGGAUUUUCACUCAUUGCUCUCCAGCUUGGACAGCUCAUAGCCUGGGAAAAUUCACCCAAAAUGAACCAAAAUCCAGAAAAUUCUACUCAAAAUUAGUGCUGAAAUUACAGAAAAUCCAUGGAUUUCAGGGGAUCCCAAAAUUCCCAAAAAUUCCCCAAAAUUCCCUCAAAAUUCCCUUUGAAAAUUCUGAUUUUUCACUCAUUGCUCUCCAGCUUGGACAGUUCAUAGCCUGAAAUCCACCCAAAAUUAACCAAAAUCAACCAAAAUUACACCCAGAAUUAACCCUGAGAUUCCUGGGAAUCCAUGGAUUUAAGGGCAUCCCAAAAAUCCCCA
rnacentral:lncRNA from 1 species